GACGAACGCUGGCUGCGUGCUUAACACAUGCAAGUCGAACGGAAAGGCCCUGCUUUUGUGGGGUGCUCGAGUGGCGAACGGGUGAGUAACACGUGAGUAACCUGCCCUUGACUUUGGGAUAACUUCAGGAAACUGGGGCUAAUACCGGAUAGGAGCUCCUGCUGCAUGGUGGGGGUUGGAAAGUUUCGGCGGUUGGGGAUGGACUCGCGGCUUAUCAGCUUGUUGGUGGGGUAGUGGCUUACCAAGGCUUUGACGGGUAGCCGGCCUGAGAGGGUGACCGGCCACAUUGGGACUGAGAUACGGCCCAGACUCCUACGGGAGGCAGCAGUGGGGAAUAUUGCACAAUGGGCGGAAGCCUGAUGCAGCAACGCCGCGUGCGGGAUGACGGCCUUCGGGUUGUAAACCGCUUUCGCCUGUGACGAAGCGUGAGUGACGGUAAUGGGUAAAGAAGCACCGGCUAACUACGUGCCAGCAGCCGCGGUGAUACGUAGGGUGCGAGCGUUGUCCGGAUUUAUUGGGCGUAAAGGGCUCGUAGGUGGUUGAUCGCGUCGGAAGUGUAAUCUUGGGGCUUAACCCUGAGCGUGCUUUCGAUACGGGUUGACUUGAGGAAGGUAGGGGAGAAUGGAAUUCCUGGUGGAGCGGUGGAAUGCGCAGAUAUCAGGAGGAACACCAGUGGCGAAGGCGGUUCUCUGGGCCUUUCCUGACGCUGAGGAGCGAAAGCGUGGGGAGCGAACAGGCUUAGAUACACUGGUAGUCCACGCUGUAAACGGUGGGUACUAGGUGUGGGGUCCAUUCCACGGGUUCCGUGCCGUAGCUAACGCUUUAAGUACCCCGCCUGGGGAGUACGGCCGCAAGGCUAAAACUCAAAGGAAUUGACGGGGCCCCGCACAAGCGGCGGAGCAUGCGGAUUAAUUCGAUGCAACGCGUAGAACCUUACCUGGGUUUGACAUGGAUCGGGAGUGCUCAGAGAUGGGUGUGCCUCUUUUGGGGUCGGUUCACAGGUGGUGCAUGGCUGUCGUCAGCUCGUGUCGUGAGAUGUUGGGUUAAGUCCCGCAACGAGCGCAACCCUUGUUCACUGUUGCCAGCACGUUAUGGUGGGGACUCAGUGGAGACCGCCGGGGUCAACUCGGAGGAAGGUGGGGAUGACGUCAAGUCAUCAUGCCCCUUAUGUCCAGGGCUUCACGCAUGCUACAAUGGCUGGUACAGAGAGUGGCGAGCCUGUGAGGGUGAGCGAAUCUCGGAAAGCCGGUCUCAGUUCGGAUUGGGGUCUGCAACUCGACCUCAUGAAGUCGGAGUCGCUAGUAAUCGCAGAUCAGCAACGCUGCGGUGAAUACGUUCCCGGGGCU
rnacentral:rRNA from 1 species